AUUGAACGCUGGCGGCAUGCUUUACACAUGCAAGUCGAACGGUAACAGGUUAAGCUGACGAGUGGCGAACGGGUGAGUAAUGCAUCGGAACGUGCCCGGUCGUGGGGGAUAACGCAGCGAAAGCUGCGCUAAUACCGCAUACGAUCUGAGGAUGAAAGCGGGGGACCGUAAGGCCUCGCGCGAUCGGAGCGGCCGAUGUCAGAUUAGGUAGUUGGUGGGGUAAAGGCUCACCAAGCCGACGAUCUGUAGCUGGUCUGAGAGGACGACCAGCCACCCUGGGGCUGAGACACGGCCGCGACUCCUACGGGAGGCAGCAGUGGGGAAUUUUGGACAAUGGGCGCAAGCCUGAUCCAGCAAUGCCGCGUGCAGGAAGAAGGCCUUCGGGUUGUAAACUGCUUUUGUACGGAGCGAAAAGGCUCUCUCUAAUACAGGGGGCUCAUGACGGUACCGUAAGAAUAAGCACCGGCUAACUACGUGCCAGCAGCCGCCGCAG
rnacentral:rRNA from 1 species